AUAAAAUCAGUUUCCUGAAUGUAGGUUGCUGAGCUGAAAGCAGAGCUGCCAGUUGUUAAAUUUAGCGCAUUUAGUCCUUUCGUGCAGCGUGGACACCCGCGUGGGGCGUCUGCGGCUGGUCCAGUCCGUGUGCUGUCCUCUGGUUUAGCACUAAGAGCAGCCACAGAAUUGUAACCUCAUGGAAAACCACGAGGUUUGGAGUGCCUUAAUCUUUAACCAGUUUCCAAUGAAAUGGUUUAAUACACACUGCUGUUUAAUAAAAAAAAAAGAAACUAUUAUGCUCUUUCUUUUAGUUCAAACAAGAACAUAAAAACAAAUUCAUACAAAAAGGUUAGAUAGGCUUACACAGGAUGGCCGGCGACAGCAGCCAGCGCUCGCUCUACUCUCUCUGACGGGGAACCAGCGGCCUACAGGAGACUGUAUCUGCCUCUAUUUCCAACAGACUCACGUUCAACUUUCGCUCACAAAAAGAAGCCGGGAAAAUUGUAUUAGUCCUUUUUUUAAAAAAAGUUAAUAUAAAAUUAUGGCAAAAAAAAAAAAAGGAACCCGAACUUUAGUAACAGCUGGAACAAUCUGCAGCGGCGGCGGGAGAAGAGGUUUAAUUAAGUUGAUUUUCUGUGGUUGUUGGUUGUUCGCUAGUCUCACGGUGAUGGAAGCUGCACAUUUUUUCGAAGGGACGGAGAAGCUGCUGGAGGUUCGGUUCUCCCGGCAGCAACCUGACGCGAACCAAGGAUCUGGGGAUCUUCGCACUAUCCCGAGAUCUGGGUGGGACAUACUUUUCAAGGAUGUGCAAUGUUCAAUCAUAAGUGUGACAAAAACUGACAAGCAGGAAGCUUAUGUACUCAGUGAGAGUAGCAUGUUUGUCUCCAAGAGACGUUUCAUUUUGAAGACAUGUGGUACCACCCUCUUGCUGAAAGCACUGGUUCCCCUGUUGAAGCUUGCUAGGGAUUACAGUGGGUUUGACUCAAUUCAAAGCUUCUUUUAUUCUCGUAAGAAUUUCAUGAAGCCUUCUCACCAAGGGUACCCACACCGGAAUUUCCAGGAAGAAAUAGAGUUUCUAAAUGCAAUUUUCCCAAAUGGAGCAGCAUAUUGUAUGGGACGUAUGAAUUCUGACUGUUGGUACUUACAUACUCUGGAUUUCCCAGAGAGUCGAGUAGUCAGUCAGCCAGAUCAGACCCUGGAAAUUCUGAUGAGUGAGCUUGACCCAGCAGCUAUGGACCAGUUCUACAUGAAAGAUGGUGUUACUGCAAAGGAUGUCACUCGUGAGAGUGGAAUUCGUGACCUAAUACCAGGUUCUGUCAUUGAUGCCACAUUGUUCAAUCCUUGUGGGUAUUCAAUGAAUGGAAUGAAAUCGGAUGGAACUUAUUGGACUAUUCACAUCACUCCAGAACCAGAAUUUUCUUAUGUUAGCUUUGAAACAAACUUAAGUCAGACCUCCUAUGAUGACCUGAUCAGGAAAGUUGUGGAAGUCUUCAAGCCAGGAAAAUUUGUGACGACCUUGUUUGUUAAUCAGAGUUCUAAAUGUCGCACAGUGCUUGCUUCGCCCCAGAAGAUUGAAGGCUUUAAACGUCUUGAUUGCCAGAGCACUAUGUUCAAUGAUUACAAUUUUGUUUUUACCAGUUUUGCUAAGAAGCAGCAACAACAGCAGAGUUGAUUAAGAAAGAUGAAGAAAAAAUGCAAAAAGAGAACACACAUAGAAGGUGGUGGCUGCUUUCUAGAUGUUAAUACCGGGGGCCAUGCUUUCCAUAACCACCACCUUGUAGUUGCAGAAAGCCCUAGAUGUAAUGAUAGUGUAGUCAUUUUGAAUUGUAUGCAUUAUUAUAUCAAAGAGUUAGAUAUCUUGCAUGAAUGCUCUCUUCUGUGUUUAGGUAUUCUAUGCCACUCUUGCUGUGAAAUUGAAGUGCAUUUAGAAAAAAACUUUUACUAUAUGGAACUUUACAACAUUUGUGAAAACAAUUCAAUUUGGUUUAUGCACAGUGUAAUAUUUCUCCAGGUAUCAUCCAAAAUUCCCCACAGACAAGGCUUUCGUCCUCAUUAGGUAUUGGCCUCAGCCAAACCAUCUGGGACUGUUCUAUUAAACUGCUGCCAGACUUUUACAUCCAGUUACCUCCACUUUCUAGAACUAAUUCUUUACUAAUGUUAUUGGAACCAAUUUCUACUUCAUACAGAUGUUUUUUGCAACAGCAAUUAAAGUUUUUUUUCCACAA